AGAGUUUGAUCCUGGCUCAGGAUGAACGCUAGCGACAGGCUUAACACAUGCAAGUCGAGGGGCAGCGAGGGAGUGGCAACACUUCUGUCGGCGACCGGCGCACGGGUGAGUAACGCGUAUGCAACCUGCCCUUCACAGGGGGAUAACCGGGAGAAAUUCCGACUAAUACCGCAUACGUCCUUUGGGGGCAUCCCCGGAGGAUGAAAGAUUUAUCGGUGAAGGAUGGGCAUGCGUGAUAUUAGGUAGUUGGCGGGGCAACGGCCCACCAAGCCCACGAUAUCUAGGGGUUCUGAGAGGAAGGUCCCCCACAUUGGUACUGAGACACGGACCAAACUCCUACGGGAGGCAGCAGUGAGGAAUAUUGGUCAAUGGACGAGAGUCUGAACCAGCCAAGUCGCGUGAAGGAAGACGGAUCUAUGGUUUGUAAACUUCUUUAGUGCGGGAACAAAGCGGCGUCGUGACGCCGGAUGAGUGUACCGCAAGAAUAAGCAUCGGCUAACUCCGUGCCAGCAGCCGCGGUAAUACGGAGGAUGCGAGCGUUAUCCGGAUUUAUUGGGUUUAAAGGGAGCGCAGGCUGCGAGGCAAGUCAGCGGUCAAAUGUCGGGGCUCAACCCCGGCCUGCCGUUGAAACUGUCCUGCUAGAGUUCGAGUGAGGUAUGCGGAAUGCGUUGUGUAGCGGUGAAAUGCAUAGAUAUGACGCAGAACUCCGAUUGCGAAGGCAGCAUACCAACUCGCGACUGACGCUGAGGCUCGAAAGCGUGGGUAUCGAACAGGAUUAGAUACCCUGGUAGUCCACGCAGUAAACGAUGAAUACUAACUGUUCGGAGGGCGACCUCUGAGUGGUAAAGCGAAAGCGUUAAGUAUUCCACCUGGGGAGUACGCCGGCAACGGUGAAACU
rnacentral:rRNA from 1 species